UACGUAGGGGGCAAGCGUUAUCCGGAUUUACUGGGUGUAAAGGGAGCGUAGACGGCUAAUCAAGUCAGAAGUGAAAACCCAGGGCCCAACUCUGGGACUGCUCUUGAAACUGGCAGGCUUGAGUGCUGGAGAGGUAAGCGGAAUUCCUAGUGUAGCGGUGAAAUGCGUAGAUAUUAGGAGGAACACCAGUGGCGAAGGCGGCUUACUGGACAGUGACUGACACUGAGGCUCGAAAGCGUGGGGAGCAAACAGG
rnacentral:rRNA from 1 species